AAUAGAUCGCUGAAAAGAGAGGAUUCGCUCAGUUCUGCUGUAUAUUUAACUUUUGUCGCUGCACGGUAUUGUUUAAAUUUCCAUUUAACACAUUGGGAAAGAAUGAGACACGCGCACAUUAUUUUUACCGUACAUUGGCAAACACGCAUAGAUAUUUACGAAAACAGCCUUUUCGGUCUAUU